GCACUGAAGUUACUUUGCUUCUUCUGAUGGUCUUGACGGCGUACUCUGCUUCUGUCGGUGGAAGAUUGCCGUCCUCAGCAACUUAUGUGUGCCCUCUGCUUCUGAUGGUCUUCAAGGCACCGCUGCUGCUCCGAAGCUGCAGCACCAUGUCGCCUGCUUUUAAACGUCUGGAGGAGUAGAUUUGCUGCUGAUAUUUAUCCUACAGGAGAAGAAUUGCCAAUUCAGACUUGCACAUGGAUUGUCCUGUGGUUUCUCCUGUUGUGAUGUGUAGAAUUGGUGGCUUGCAUGUGUGAUUUGCUCCUGAUCUUUAUUCAAAGCAGAGUGGUGCUCCUCUGAAUAUUUUGCUGCUCUGAAUUAACAGGUGUGGAAUCCCGCCAGGCGUGGCUCUGCAGCGUCGGGUUCGCCCAGUUCCCCGACGACCGCGCUGUGUGGGUCGCUGAGACGCCGCUUCCGGAGAAGAAGUCUACGACAUUCGCCGCCCGCCGCCCACCUGUACAUCAGGAAGAGCUCUGUACUUGUUAUCACCGGCAGCAACACGAGAUGAGGACCUCCGGCGACGCAACACGAGCAGGGGACAAGCGGCAAGUUGCAGAGGAGCAGCAAGUUACUGAAAAUUCAGUUUACUGGAUAAUGUUUCAACCAGAACAUGAAUUAAGAUGCAAGAAUCAUCAAGUUGAUAGCAGUCAAUGCAAAAUUACAGACUGGAUGAUCCGCUGCUGCUCUAAUUUGACAUCAGUUUGGUCACCUGCGAGCUAGGUCAAUCUAUUUUGUAGCAGCAGAGGCGGCGAGGAGGAGCUGGGUCGCCUCGACAAAGAAGAAGAAGAAGAAAUCGAGGAGGAGGACAGAUAGACGGCGGUGGUUGCCUAUGUAGCAGGUGGGCGGCGGCGCUGCGCCUGACGGUGGAUGCGGUAGUCACCCUCGAUGGACGACGGUGGAGUAGCGGCGGCCUGGAUCUUGCCCAACUCCGGCACCGGAUUGGUUGGACUUGGUGGGCCGGGGAUGCGAGCAGGACGACGGAGGUGGAAGACGGGUCGAUUAGCAAGAGAUUUAAUAGAAUAAGGGUGUUUUUGUAGAAUUGAAAAUGUACUAAGCUGAGGACAUUUUUUUUCCGGACGGAGGGAGUAUUAACUUUAAUAUAAAUUUGUAUUAAGACCGACACACUUAUUUUAGGACGGAGGGAGGGAGUAAGUUUUAAACUGCCCUCCACUGAUCAUUGUAAAAA